UAGGGAAUAUUGGACAAUGGUUGCAAGACUGAUCCAGCCAUGCCGCGUGCAGGAAGAAGGCCUUCUGGGUCGUAAACUGCUUUUCCCCGGGGAUAAAAUACUCGUGCGCGAGGCAUUGAAGGUACCGGGGGAAUAAGCCACGGCUAACUACGUGCCAGCAGCCGCGGUAAUACGUAGGUGGCAAGCGUUGUCCGGAUUUAUUGGGUUUAAAGGGUGCGUAGGCGGCCCUGUAAGUCAGUGGUGAAAUACGGCAGCUCAACUGUCGAGGUGCCAUUGAUACUGCGGGGCUUGAGUGUUGACGAGGCAGGCGGAAUUGACGGUGUAGCGGUGAAAUGCUUAGAUAUCGUCAAGAACACCGAUAGCGAAGGCAGCCUGCCAGGCAACAACUGACGCUGAGGCACGAAAGUGCGGGGAUCAAAC
rnacentral:rRNA from 1 species